rnacentral:rRNA from 1 species
UUACCUUCGGGUAAUGAGGAUGGCGGACGGGUGAGUAACGCGUAAGGAACUUGCCUCUUGGACUGGGACAACUGUUGGAAACGACAGCUAAUACCGGAUAUUAUGAGAUUCUCGCAUGAGAAACUUAUGAAAGCUAUAUGCGCCAAGAGAGAGCCUUGCGUUCCAUUAGCUAGUUGGUGGGGUAACGGCCCACCAAGGCGACGAUGGAUAGCCGGCCUGAGAGGGUGAACGGCCACAAGGGGACUGAGACACGGCCCUUACUCCUACGGGAGGCAGCAGUGGGGAAUAUUGGACAAUGGGCCACAAGCCUGAUCCAGCAAUUCUGUGUGCACGAUGAAGGUCUUCGGAUUGUAAAGUGCUUUCAGUUGGGAAGAAGAAAGUGACGGUACCAACAGAAGAAGCGACGGCUAAAUACGUGCCAGCAGCCGCGGUAAUACGUAUGUCGCAAGCGUUAUCCGGAUUUAUUGGGCGUAAAGCGCGUCUAGGCGGAAAAAUAAGUCUGAUGUUAAAAUGCGGGGCUCAACUCCGUAUUGCGUUGGAAACUGUUUUUCUAGAGUACUGGAGAGGUGGGCGGAACUACAAGUGUAGAGGUGAAAUUCGUAGAUAUUUGUAGGAAUGCCGAUGGAGAAGUCAGCUCACUGGACAGAUACUGACGCUGAAGCGUGAAAGCGUG